rnacentral:misc_RNA from 1 species
GGAAGUAACGUAACAAGGUUUCCGUAGGUGAACCUGCGGAAGGAUCAUUAUCGUACAAAAUGUGAGGGGCAUGCGAGGGCUGUCGCUGACCCAAAAGUCGUGCACGCCCGAGUGUGUCCUCUUGCAUAAUAAUCCAUCUCACCCUUUGUGCAUCACCGCGUGGGCACCCUUCGGGAUCAUCUCGGAGGGGGGCUCGCGUUCUCACACAAACCCCCCUUUUAAAAGUGUAGAAUGACCACAUUUAUGCAAUCAAUACAACUUUCAACAACGGAUCUCUUGGCUCUC